AAGACCUUGCGCUUUUGGAGCGGCCGAUGCCUGAUUAGCUAGUUGGUGGGGUAAUGGCCUACCAAAGCUUCGAUCAGUAGCUGGUCUGAGAGGACGGCCAGCCACACUGGGACUGAGACACGGCCCAGACUCCUACGGGAGGCAGCAGUGGGGAAUUUUGGACAAUGGGCGCAAGCCUGAUCCAGCCAUGCCGCGUGAGUGAAGAAGGCCUUCGGGUUGUAAAGCUCUUUCGGCCGGAACGAAAUCGUCUAGGCUAAUACUCGAGGCGGAUGACGGUACCGGAAGAAGAAGCACCGGCUAACUACGUGCCAGCAGCCGCGGUAAUACGUAGGGUGCAGGCGUUAAUCGGAAUUACUGGGCGUAAAGCGUGCGCAGGCGGCUCUCUAAGUCAGAUGUGAAAUCCCCGGGCUUAACCUGGGAACU
rnacentral:rRNA from 1 species